ACUCGCUUCGGCAGAACAUAUACUAAACCUGGAAUGAUUCAGAGAAGGUUAGCAUGGCCCCUGCGCACCGUCAGUCUUAACCAUGCAAAUCUGCAUCUUUUA